UCCUUGUUAGCUCAGUUGGUAGAGCGUUCGGCUUUUAAGAAAAUUCUUAAGCAAGGAUACCGAAAUGUCAGGGGUUCGAGCCCCCUAUGAGGAG
rnacentral:tRNA from 1 species